rnacentral:RNase_P_RNA from 1 species
UGGGUUGGCCAGACGGUCGCGGCAUUGCCGAGGAACGUCCGGGCUCCGAAUAGCACAGUGGUGGGUAACACCCACCUGAGGUAACUCAAGAGAACAGUGCAACAGAAAGUAAACCGCCUCCCUCCGGGGAGGUAAGGGUGAAACGGUGGUGUAAGAGACCACCAGCGAGUCAGGUGACUGAUUCGGCUAGGUAAACCUCACUGGGAGCAAGACCAAGCAGAAGGCGUUUUGAGAACAGCUAGUUCAAGCCUUUGGGUAGGUUGCUAGAGCCACCGAGCAAUUUGUGGCCGAGAUAGAUGGCCGUCAGUGCUUCGGCACUACAGAACCCGGCGUAUCGGCCGACCCAUCUC